CUCUUCCUUGAGCUAACCUUCAAAAGUUUUCAUACAUCCAAAUAUCAAGUCGUGAGAUCUCAUCUUAAGGAUUGUUUAUUGUUUGUUGUCAAGUUGUGCUCUUGUUAUUCGGUAGAAACAUGGCCGAUGAUCGCGAGAUCUUGCGCGAGCUCUGGGAUGGACGGAUCCCCACAUCUUUUAGUUUAGCCUCCAAUGAGGUUGAAACCCUGAGCGCUCCGGAUCCGUAUUACUUGAUGUUGCCACGACAGACCUAUUUACCCAUUGCUACCGAGAAGGUACGUAAGCACUUCUCUAAACACGUCAAAGUUGAACAUCAAGAGAACCCCAUGUGGUUUGAGUUUGAUGGCACACCUCUCCAAUGGCACCGUCCAUUGGGCGUUCUCUAUGAUCUAGCCGUCAUGAAUUCUGAUGGCGAAGCCAGACCCCCUUGGUCUCUGGUGGUUCACUUCGAUAACUAUCCUCACCAGGAAAUUCUCCGUCUGGAUUCGCCGCAAGCAGUAGAGAUGAACUUCAUGUCCAGUAUCAAAGAAGCCGAUUUUAUUAAGCACGCUGGGAAGAUCAUUUCAACCAUGCAAAAGAAAGAUCAUCUGCAGUUAUGGCAAGGUCUGCAAAAUGACAAAUUUGAUCAAUUUUGGGCCGUGAACCGACGUCUCAUGGAGCGAAUGUCUGGCGAGGAAGGAUUCAAGGCUAUUCCGGUACGCAUUUAUCGUGGCGAUCAGAUGAUUCUCCAGAAAUUGUACAAAACCAUUGGGCCGGAGCGGAAGAAGCGGACUCUCCAGGAUCUCUUAGAUGAAGCUUUCCCCGAUGAGGAUAACAGCGACGCUCGGCUAGAUUUUGAGGAUUCUGCAACAUUGGAGUGAUAUUCCUGGGAAGAGGCAAUUCAACAAGCGGAUCUAGCAUAUUCUCUGCAACUGUGGCCAAUUCAGACCAGUUAUGGUUUCCACUCAAGGCAUAACACCCCCUCGAGAAACGCCCCUCCAGUGGCUUUCUGAACAUCUUAGUUAUCCCGAUAACUUCAUCUACUUAUGCGUCAAGUGAAUUCCUGUUCCAAAGAUGUUGAAUAAAUAUUGGCAUUAUUA